CCUACGGGGGGCAGCAGUGGGGAAUAUUGGGCAAUGGCCGAAAGUCUGACCCAGCAACGCCGCGUGAAUGAAGAAGGUCUUCGGGUUGUAAAGUUCUUUUCUAAGGGAGGAAGAAAGUGACGGUACCUUAGGAAUAAGCCUCGGCUAACUACGUGCCAGCAGCCGCGGUAAUACGUAGGAGGCGAGCGUUAUCCGGAUUGACUGGGCGUAAAGGGUGCGUAGGUGGUUUGGCAAGUUAGUUGCGUAAGUCCCAGGCUCAACCUUGGAAUUACCACUAAAACUGUUUGACUUGAGUGCAGGAGGGGCAGCCGGAAUUCCUAGUGUAGCGGUGGAAUGCGUAGAUAUUAGGAGGAACACCAGUGGCGAAGGCGGGUUGCUAGACUGUAACUGACACUGAGGCACGAAAGCGUGGGGAGCAAACAGGAUUAGAUACCCGUGUAGUC
rnacentral:rRNA from 1 species